rnacentral:misc_RNA from 1 species
ACGCUGGCACACACUCAAAUUUGCUGCCAGCACCCCACCCACACAGACAUGCACACACUUUUCGAACACUAGACGCGCUCUCUCACGCAGUGCGCCGCUGUCGCUGUUUUGGUCCUCUAGGCCUUGCUUUACUGUGCCACGCGACGAAGAGGGCGGAAAUAUAAAGCGCACACAACAUAUCGAUUCUCGGGUCUGCCAGAAGAAAAGACUGCGAACCUGUUUGAUGCCCCUCAUUGGCGACUGCAUGCGCCAGCUGGCGGAGCAGCUGAGGGGCUGCGAUGGUGUCGUCGCUGUGGAUCCAUUGGCGUGCGCCUCAUUCCAUGAGGAGACUGCGGCGCGCAUCGCACUAGAGGCUCUCUCGUUGCUCCUCUUGGAUAGGCCCAGUGAGCGGCGCACGGACGGCAUGUGUGCACAUCGUCGAACGUGGUGUGGCAUUGGCGUUUUGCGUGGCCGGGAGAGUGACGUGGCCUACAACUCUGGAGAGGGCGCCAGCGUGCUAUGGAACGUUGUCCCUGUCGCCCUCACCGUGGUGCCGUGGCAGGUGGAGCUUCCACGGCGGCUGCAGGAUCUCGUGCUUUGCCAAGGCCACUUUGCAUCCAUCGACCAGCUUGAUUACGGAAGCAGCGAUGUCGGCCCCGUCCCGGACACCUUCCUGACGCGCGAGGCGGUGGCCUUGCUUUGUGGGCUGCCACGCUGCCGCGUGCAAGCGGUCUCCGGCCGCUUCCCUCUCUUUGGUCGAGUCGUACCUCCCUCUUUUUCGGCGGCGCCUCGAGGUGUCACGGCAACGGAUGCGACCUGGUCGUUGGUGCCUUCACGAGAGGUCUCUCCUGCUCGAUCCGCAGCGGCUGCACAGCGGCACGCACGCCGGCUGAUGCCCUUCCUGGUGAGCGGCUUGUCAUCUCUGAUGGAGCCGUUUUCUCUGCGGAACGAUAGGUCUGUGCCGGAGUGCUGGGCCGUGGUUUCUUACCCAGAUGGACUGCCGCGUGCAGAGGCAGCGCGUGAGGAGGUCGACGGUGUCUCUCGUGACAUCAGUGACACUGCCGGAGCCGUCUCCUCACACGAAGCCAAUGUGCACGAGUCUGAUGGCUCCUGCGAGGCGGCACCGUUUUUCAUUCUGCCGUCCCACCUGCUGUGCCGCUCGCUGCGCGUCGCGGUUGGCUGGCAGAAGAUUUCGCCCUCCUCACGACCAUUAGUGUCGGAGGUGCUUCAGCGUCUCUGCUGCCUUGUGGAUCGUAUUGCACUCCGCACAGACCGAGGCGUCACACUCACAUCCCGGACAGCCUGUAGUACCGGUCAGGAGACGCUUUCUGCCACCAUGACGAUUCAAAAGGCGUCCAGCAUGUGAGCUUCGACACCAUGGCAGCCCCUCCACGGCGUUCUUCCGAGUUCUCGCGCACGCGUUCGUUUUCUGUGUAUUCCCUUUCGAUAUCCCACCUUUGAUGUCUUUUGUCCCUUUGAUGGCGCGUGCUGUGCCGCACAUCACCCGCGCCCCGUCAACGGGCUAGUCUCCUGCUACAUGUCCUUGCCACCCAGAACGAAAAACAAAGAGGAAUGCGCACCAGGGGCGCGAAGGGAGCGCCAUCUUCUCUGCAGCAACGCGCCGAUGUAGCGUGUGCCUCUCUCGCUUUCUCUGCAGUUGGAGUGGCGUCUGUUCAUGUGCCAGACACAUCGGAUAGCGCAGGUGGUGGUGAUGGACAGAGGUUGAGGAGGUUCAUGCGGGUCACGUGCCCUUUCACGUUCUUGACUCCUCUCCACUGUGCCUUGUGUGCACAUCCCAUUUGAUGCUUGCUUGCUGCUCCUCGCUUCCACGGCUUUGUUUCGGUGUGGUGGCACACCAGAGUCCUUCCCCCGGGGCGACGCGCUUCUUCACUGUCCAUAUACUGCCUCACCUGCGUCUUCUCUUGCACUUCUCUCCCUCUCAUCCAUCUCGUUGCGCGACUGUUGCUCUGGGCGACACCGCCUCCUCUCCAUCUCGUGACACGCACACAAG